AGAUUGAACGCUGGCGGCAGGCCUAACACAUGCAAGUCGAGCGGUAGAGAGGUGCUUGCAUCUCUUGAGAGCGGCGGACGGGUGAGUAAUGCCUAGGAAUCUGCCUAGUGGUGGGGGAUAACGUUCGGAAACGGACGCUAAUACCGCAUACGUCCUACGGGAGAAAGCGGGGGACCUUCGGGCCUCGCGCCAUUAGAUGAGCCUAGGUCGGAUUAGCUAGUUGGUGAGGUAAUGGCUCACCAAGGCGACGAUCCGUAACUGGUCUGAGAGGAUGAUCAGUCACACUGGAACUGAGACACGGUCCAGACUCCUACGGGAGCAGCAGUGGGGAAUAGUUGG
rnacentral:rRNA from 1 species